AGAGUUUGAUCCUGGCUCAGGACGAACGCUGGCGGCGCGCCUAACACAUGCAAGUCGAACGAGCGAGAGAGAGCUUGCUUUCUCAAGCGAGUGGCGAACGGGUGAGUAACGCGUGAGGAACCUGCCUCAAAGAGGGGGACAACAGUUGGAAACGACUGCUAAUACCGCAUAAGCCCACGGCUCGGCAUCGAGCAGAGGGAAAAGGAGCAAUCCGCUUUGAGAUGGCCUCGCGUCCGAUUAGCUAGUUGGUGAGGUAACGGCCCACCAAGGCGACGAUCGGUAGCCGGACUGAGAGGUUGAACGGCCACAUUGGGACUGAGACACGGCCCAGACUCCUACGGGAGGCAGCAGUGGGGAAUAUUGCACAAUGGGGGAAACCCUGAUGCAGCGACGCCGCGUGGAGGAAGAAGGUCUUCGGAUUGUAAACUCCUGUUGUUGAAGAAGAUAAUGACGGUACUCAACAAGGAAGUGACGGCUAACUACGUGCCAGCAGCCGCGGUAAAACGUAGGUCACAAGCGUUGUCCGGAAUUACUGGGUGUAAAGGAAGCGCAGGCGGGAAGACAAGUUGGAAGUGAAAUCCAUGGGCUCAACUCAUGAACUGCUUUCAAAACUGUUUUUCUUGAGUAGUGCAGAGGUAGGCGGAAUUCCCGGUGUAGCGGUGGAAUGCGUAGAUAUCGGGAGGAACACCAGUGGCGAAGGCGGCCUACUGGGCACCAACUGACGCUGAGGCUCGAAAGUGUGGGUAGCAAACAGGAUUAGAUACCCUGGUAGUCCACACUGUAAACGAUGAUUACUAGGUGUUGGAGGAUUGACCCCUUCAGUGGCGCAGUUAACACAAUAAGUGAUCCACCUGGGGAGUACGACCGCAAGGUUGAAACUCAAAGGAAUUGACGGGGGCCCGCGCAAGCAGUGGAGUAUGUGGUUUAAUUCGACGCAACGCGAAGAACCUUACCAAGUCUUGACAUCCCUUGACAGACAUAGAAAUAUGUUUUCUCUUCGGAGCAAGGAGACAGGUGGUGCAUGGUUGUCGUCAGCUCGUGUCGUGAGAUGUUGGGUUAAGUCCCGCAACGAGCGCAACCCUUAUGGUCAGUUACUACGCAAGAGGACUCUGGCCAGACUGCCGUUGACAAAACGGAGGAAGGUGGGGAUGACGUCAAAUCAUCAUGCCCUUUAUGACUUGGGCUACACACGUACUACAAUGGCGUUAAACAAAGAGAAGCAAGACCGCGAGGUGGAGCAAAACUCAGAAACAACGUCCCAGUUCGGAAUGCAGGCUGCAACUCGCCUGCACGAAGUCGGAAUUGCUAGUAAUCGUGGAUCAGCAUG
rnacentral:rRNA from 1 species